UAUGCGUGAUAGGUAAGUAUGUGGUGUAUGUCUGGUGUAAACCAGUAUGCGUUGUAAGUAUGUGGUGUAUGUCAUUUGUAAACCAGUAUGUGUUGUAAGUAAAUAUGUGGUGUAAGUCAGUAUGUGUGGUAAGUAAGUAUGUGGUGUAUGUCUGGUGUAAACCAGUAUGCGUUGUAAGCAAGUAUGUAGUGUAUGUCAGUAUGUGUUGUAAGUAAGUAUGUGGUGUAUGUCAGAUGUAAGUCAGUAUGUGUGGUAAGUAAGUAUGUGGUGUAUGUCUGGUGUAAGUCAGUAUGUAUGGUUAGCAAGUAUGUGGUGUAUGUCUGGUGUAAAUCAAUAUGCGUGGUAGGUUAGUAUGUGGUGUAUGGCAGGUGCGUUGUAAGUAAAUAUGUGGUGUAUGUCUGGUGUUAGUCAUUAUGCGUGUUUGUAUGUGGUGUAUGUCUGGUGUAUAUCAAUAUGCGUGGUAGCUAAGUAUAUUGUGUAUAUCUGGCGUAAACAAGUAUGUGUUAUCAGUAAGUAUGUGAUGUAUGUCUGGUUUAAGUCAGUAUGUGUUUUAAGUAAGUAUGUGGUGUAUGUCUGGUGUAAGUCAGUAUGUGUGGUAAGUAAGUAUGUGGUGUUUGUCAGGUGUAAGUAAGUAUGUGUUGUAAGUAAGUAUGUGGUGUAUGUCAGGUGUAAGUCAGUGUGUGUGGUAAGUAUGUUGUGUAUGUCUGGUGUAAACCAGUAUGCGUUGUAAGUAAGUAUGUUAUACAUGUCAGGUGUAAGUCAGUAUGUAUGGUAAGUAUGUGGUGUAUGUCUGGUGUAAGUCAGUAUGUGUGGUAAGUAAGUAUGUGGUUUAUGUCUGGUGUAAGUCAGUAUGUGCGGUAAGUAAAUAGGUGAUGUAUGUCUGGUGUAAGUCAGUAUGUGUGGUAUGUAAGGUGUAAUCAGAAUGUAGUGCACGACAGUAUGUCGUGUAAGGUAGUGCUUAUUCAAAGAGCAAUGUUGUCUAUGGUAUCUUUUUUAACAACAUCAUAUGUAUUAUUCUUAACUUAAAUGGUUAUAUUCCUUAAUUUCAUUUUAUACUGUUUUCAACAGUAUUUCAUUCUUAUAACGGCGACCAGUUACCCAACUCAUACUUUACGGGUAAGCUGGUUUACCAGUACUAGAUGCGCAAAAGUAUGCUGGUAACUUGUAACAGCCCUGCUUGAACCAGGGGUAGUGGCA